AUCUAAAUCGCUAACCCAAUAAACAAUGGCCCAAUUACAGAGGCCCACUGCCUAGCCCUAGACCACGAAACAAAAACCCUAGCAGCAAUAACAACUUUUUACCUUUGCGCCACAGACGAACCCAGGCCUCCAACGCGUGCUAUGCCUCUGCGAGCAUGCACCCCUCCGAGCUUGUACAUGCACAACAAAAAUGGCAACAAAUAGCACAGGCAGCGAAAAAUAGCAAGAAAAUCAAAAAUCACAAAUCAAGGCC
rnacentral:lncRNA from 1 species